rnacentral:tRNA from 1 species
GGAGGAAUACCCAAGAGGCUGAAGGGGUGGGCUUGGAAAGCUCAUAGACAUGUAACAGUGUGCAAGGGUUCAAAUCCCUUUUCCUCCGCCA